rnacentral:rRNA from 1 species
GAUAAUACCGAAUACGAUCGCAUGACUAUGGUUAUGUGAUGAAAGGAGCUACGGCUCCGCCUUGAGAUGGGCCCGCGUCCCAUUAGCUAGUUGGCGGUGUAACUGACCACCAAGGCGAAAGAUGGGUAGCCGGCCUGAGAGGGUGAACGGCCACACUGGGACUGAGAUACGGCCCAGACUCCUACGGGAGGCAGCAGCUAAGAAUAUUCCGCAAUGGGCGCAAGUCUGACGGAGCGACGCCGCGUGGAUGACGAAGGCCGAAAGGUUGUAAAAUCCUUUUGCAGACGAAGAAUAAGACUGGUAGGGAAUGACCAGUUGAUGACGUUAGUCUGCGAAUAAGCCCCGGCUAAUUACGUGCCAGCAGCCGCGGUAACACGUAAGGGGCAAGCGUUGUUCGGAAUUAUUGGGCGUAAAGGGCGCGUAGGCGGCCAUGUAAGUCUGAUGUGAAAACCCCGGGCUCAACCCGGGACGUGCAUUGGAACCUGCAAGGCUUGAGUCACGGAGGGGAAAUCGGAAUUCCUAGUGUAGGGGUGAAAUCUGUAGAUAU